rnacentral:rRNA from 1 species
AACGAACGCUGGCGGCAGGCUUAACACAUGCAAGUCGAACGCACCGCAAGGUGAGUGGCAGACGGGUGAGUAACACGUGGGGAUCUGCCCAAUGGUACGGAAUAGCUCCGGGAAACUGGGAUUAAUACCGUAUGUGCCCUUCGGGGGAAAGAUUUAUCGCCAUUGGAUGAACCCGCGUCGGAUUAGCUAGUUGGUGUGGUAAAGGCGCACCAAGGCGACGAUCCGUAGCUGGUCUGAGAGGAUGAUCAGCCACACUGGGACUGAGACACGGCCCAGACUCCUACGGGAGGCAGCAGUGGGGAAUAUUGGACAAUGGGCGCAAGCCUGAUCCAGCCAUGCCGCGUGAGUGAUGAAGGCCCUAGGGUUGUAAAGCUCUUUCGCCGACGAAGAUAAUGACGGUAGUCGGAGAAGAAGCCCCGGCUAACUUCGUGCCAGCCGCCGCCGUAAUAC